rnacentral:rRNA from 1 species
GUUUGAUCCUGGCUCAGGAUGAACGCUGGCGGCGUGCUUAACACAUGCAAGUCGAACGAUCCUUCGGGAUAGUGGCGGACGGGUGAGUAACGCGUGGGAAUCUGCCCUUAGGAGGGGGAUAACGGCUGGAAACGGCCGCUAAUACCCCAUAUGCCGAGAGGUGAAAUGAAUUUCGCCUGAGGAUGAGCCCGCGUCUGAUUAGCUAGUUGGUGGGGUAAAGGCCUACCAAGGCGACGAUCAGUAGCUGGUCUGAGAGGAUGAUCAGCCACACUGGGACUGAGACACGGCCCAGACUCCUACGGGAGGCAGCAGUGGGGAAUUUUCCGCAAUGGGCGAAAGCCUGACGGAGCAACGCCGCGUGAGGGAUGAAGGCCUCUGGGCUGUAAACCUCUUUUCUCAAGGAAGAAGAACUGACGGUACUUGAGGAAUAAGCCACGGCUAAUUCCGUGCCAGCAGCCGCGGUAAUACGGGAGUGGCAAGCGUUAUCCGGAAUUAUUGGGCGUAAAGCGUCCGCAGGCGGCCUUGUAAGUCUGUUGUUAAAGCGUGGAGCUCAACUCCAUUUAAGCAAUGGAAACUACAAGGCUGGAGUGUGGUAGGGGCAGAGGGAAUUCCCGGUGUAGCGGUGAAAUGCGUAGAUAUCGGGAAGAACACCAGUGGCGAAGGCGCUCUGCUGGGCCAUAACUGACGCUCAUGGACGAAAGCCAGGGGAGCGAAAGGGAUUAGAUACCCCUGUAGUCCUGGCCGUAAACGAUGAACACUAGGUGUCGGGGGAAUCGACCCCCUCGGUGUCGUAGCCAACGCGUUAAGUGUUCCGCCUGGGGAGUACGCACGCAAGUGUGAAACUCAAAGGAAUUGACGGGGGCCCGCACAAGCGGUGGAGUAUGUGGUUUAAUUCGAUGCAACGCGAAGAACCUUACCAGGGUUUGACAUCCUGCGAAUCCCUUGGAAACGAGGGAGUGCCUUCGGGAGCGCAGUGACAGGUGGUGCAUGGCUGUCGUCAGCUCGUGUCGUGAGAUGUUGGGUUAAGUCCCGCAACGAGCGCAACCCACGUCUUUAGUUGCCAGCAUUCAGUUGGGCACUCUAGAGAGACCGCCGGUGAUAAACCGGAGGAAGGUGUGGAUGACGUCAAGUCAUCAUGCCCCUUACAUCCUGGGCUACACACGUACUACAAUGCUACGGACAAAGGGCAGCAAGCUCGCGAGAGUUAGCAAAUCCCAUAAACCGUGGCUCAGUUCAGAUCGUAGGCUGCAACUCGCCUACGUGAAGGAGGAAUCGCUAGUAAUCGCAGGUCAGCAUACUGCGGUGAAUACGUUCCCGGGCCUUGUACACACCGCCCGUCACACCAUGGAAGUUGGCCAUGCCCGAAGUCGUUACUCCAACC